GCAUGGGUUUGGAUUUAUGUAUGGGAGGCUUGUCUCUAGGGGCCUCUCAUAGUGUCUCAUGCCAGAGCAAACUGUAGUCCUGAGCCAUUGCCUGGCCUUGUCCGUGGGCUUCGGGCACUGAAGCGGGUUACACAGUG
ensembl:snoRNA